GAUGAACGCUGGCGGCGUGCUUAACACAUGCAAGUCGAACGGUGAACACGGAGCUUGCUCUGUGGGAUCAGUGGCGAACGGGUGAGUAACACGUGAGCAACCUGCCCCUGACUCUGGGAUAAGCGCUGGAAACGGCGUCUAAUACUGGAUAUGUGACGUGACCGCAUGGUCUGCGUUUGGAAAGAUUUUUCGGUUGGGGAUGGGCUCGCGGCCUAUCAGCUUGUUGGUGAGGUAAUGGCUCACCAAGGCGUCGACGGGUAGCCGGCCUGAGAGGGUGACCGGCCACACUGGGACUGAGACACGGCCCAGACUCCUACGGGAGGCAGCAGUGGGGAAUAUUGCACAAUGGGCGCAAGCCUGAUGCAGCAACGCCGCGGGAGGGAUGACGGCCUUCGGGUUGUAAACCUCUUUUAGCAGGGAAGAAGCGAAAGUGACGGUACCUGCAGAAAAAGCGCCGGCUAACUACGUG
rnacentral:rRNA from 1 species